AAUCCGAUAGGGGAUGGUGUUUAUAAAAAGGCCACUCACCUAGAGCCAGAAGCUCCAGACCAGCCACUACAACUCUGCUAAUCUCAAGCACUUGCCUCUACAGUUGGUACAGAUGGCAUUGUCCCAGUCUGUUCCCUUCUCGGCCACAGAGCUUCUCCUGGCCUCUGCCAUCUUCUGCCUGGUAUUCUGGGUGCUCAGGGGUUCGAGGCCUCGGGUCCCCAAAGGCCUGAAAAGUCCACCAGAGCCAUGGGGCUGGCCCCUGCUCGGGCAUGUGCUGACCCUGGGGAAGAACCCGCACCUGGCACUGUCAAGGAUGAGCCAGCUCUACGGAGACGUGCUGCAGAUCCGCAUUGGCUCCACACCCGUGCUGGUGCUGAGCGGCCUGGAUACCAUCCGGCAGGCCCUGGUGCGGCAGGGCGAUGAUUUCAAGGGCCGGCCUGACCUCUACAGCUUCACCUUCAUCACUGAUGGCCAGAGCAUGUCCUUCAGCCCAGACUCUGGACCGGUGUGGGCUGCCCGCCGGCGCCUGGCCCAGAACGCCCUCAACACCUUCUCCAUCGCCUCUGACCCAGCCUCCUCAUCCUCCUGCUACCUGGAGGAGCAUGUGAGCAAGGAGGCUGAGGCCCUGAUCAGCAGGUUGCAGGAGCUGAUGGCAGGGCCUGGGCACUUCAACCCUUACAAUCAAGUGGUGGUGUCAGUGGCCAACGUCAUCGGUGCCAUGUGCUUCGGACAGCACUUCCCCGAGAGCAGUGAUGAGAUGCUCAGCCUUGUGAAGAACAGUCAUGAGUUCGUGGAGAGUGCCUCCUCCGCGAACCCCGUGGACUUCUUCCCUAUCCUUCGCUACCUGCCCAACCCUGCCCUGCAGAGGUUCAAGGCCUUCAACCAGAGGUUCCGGCGGUUCCUGCAGAAAACAGUCCAGGAACACUAUCAGGACUUUGACAAGAACAGUGUCCAGGACAUCACGGGUGCCCUGUUCAAGCACAGCAAGAAGGGGCCUAGAGCCAGCGGCAACCUCAUCCCCCAGGAGAAGAUUGUCAACCUUGUCAAUGACAUCUUCGGAGCAGGAUUUGACACAAUUGCAACAGCCAUCUCCUGGAGCCUCAUGUACCUUGUGACCAAGCCCGAGAUACAGAGGAAGAUCCAGAAGGAGCUGGAUGCUGUGAUUGGCAGGGGGCGGUGACCCCGGCUCUCUGACAGACCCCAGCUGCCCUACUUGGAGGCCUUCAUCCUGGAGACCUUCCGACACUCCUCUUUCGUCCCCUUCACCAUCCCCCAUAGCACAACAAGGGACACAACACUGAACGGCUUCUACAUCCCCAGGGAAUGCUGUGUCUUCAUAAACCAGUGGCAGGUCAACCACGACCCGCAGCUGUGGGGUGACCCAUCUGAGUUCCGGCCGGAGCGGUUCCUCACCGCCGAAGGCACCACCAUUAACAAGCCCUUGAGUGAGAAGAUAAUGCUGUUUGGCCUGGGCAAGCGCCGGUGCAUCGGGGAGGUCCUGGGCAAGUGGGAGGUCUUCCUCUUCCUGGCCAUCCUGCUACAGCAACUGGAGUUCAGCGUGCCGCCGGGCGUGAAAGUCGACCUGACUCCCAUCUACGGGCUGACCAUGAAGCACGCCCGCUGUGAACACUUCCAGGCGCGGCUGCGCUUCUCCAUCAAGUGAAGAAGACGCCACCAUGCUGAGGCCAGGGAGCGAGUGGGGGCCAACCACGGGGACUCAGCCCUUGUUUCUCCUCCUUUCUUUUUUAAAAAAUAGCAGCUUUAUCCAAGUGCAGGGCCUGUAAUCCCAGCAUUUUGGGAGG